GGGCCUAUAGCUCAGCUGGUUAGAGCGCACGCCUGAUAAGCGUGAGGUCGAUGGUUCGAGUCCAUUUAGGUAUCA
rnacentral:tRNA from 1 species